CUUCUCCCUCUCCAUUAUGGAGACCACCAAAGUGCUACUGGUUUGCUUUCUGAUCCUGGCUUUUCUUGGGAUUGAGCUCUUGGUAUCUGGCGGUCCAGGAGAUUCUUUUCUCUUGUAGGUGCAAGCAUGGAACCCAUACUGACCCAGUUUAUGCCAUCCAACACUAAGAGAAGUGGUAACACCGCCUUUCUGGUAUGCCGAGUGAAUGUGACUUCUUUUGGGUCCGCUUACAUUCACUGGUACCGCCAGAAGCCCGGUGGGCAUCUGGAACGGAUUCUCUAUCUUUCAUCCAAUGACAAUGUCAUUCAUGAAGAUGGGGUCAGUGAGGAGAGGUAUGAGGCCAAGAAACGGGAGAGCGACUUGUCAGCAAGCCUCAGAAUCCACCAAGUCACAGAGGCAGAUGCGGGGCUGUACUAUUGUGCCUGCUGGGAUGGCACUAUGAGUCAAACCCACAGAGACACUGAACAAGAACUCUCACACUGCAUAUUCGUGCACCUGGGGAAUCCUCAGUGUCUGCCCCAGGUCCCACAUCUAGAUACCACCAAUGGCGGCUGCUGCGUGUCAGCACAGGAAAUCUUGCUGCUGUCUCUGCUCUGCUCAAUGCUAGGAUGGGGAGUCUCAGACCUGGCUCUGGGUCUCUUGGUCCAACUGUGAGAUUUUCUUUAUCUUCCUUCCUCUUCUCCCACAGCUGUUCAGGUCCUUGGGAAGUGUCUCUGCUCCAACUCAGGCUCACCAACCAGAGGAAGCAUCUACCAGUGGAUGACAGGGUCACAUCACUCAACCAAAUCCCACAAAAAGUCAUUAGUUGGGCCUUGGAUGGUGCCUUGGAGGUGAAAAUUAUCUGUUUUAAAAUUAGU